CUGGGCACAUGGUCACCCAACUGGAGACUCCAUUUUUCAUCUUUCCUUGCAGUGUGGGGAUGUGAGGCUGGAAAUGGAAUAAGACAGUAACCCAGCCUCAACCAGAGAUGAAGCCAACACUGUAGGAAUGGUGCAAAAACAAGUUGGAAGUCACAUGGGGUGCCCUGUGGAGCAGAGCCACCCCACUCACCUGACUACAUUCCUCUGGACUAUUAGAUGGGAAAACUGGAGCCCAAAGGAUGGAAAUACUGAACCCAUGGGCUCUGUCACUAGACUGCAUCCCAG
rnacentral:lncRNA from 1 species